rnacentral:pre_miRNA from 1 species
AUUGUACUUCCUCCGUCCGAAAAUACUUGUCAUCAAAAUGGAUAAAAAGACAUGUAUCUAGAACUAAAAUACAUCUAGAUACAUCCCCUUUUAUCCAUUUUGAUGACAAGUAUUUCCGGACGGAGGGAGUAUGAG